UCCAUUCAUUCCCUUUCCUCCGAUGUUAAUCUCUCUUCCCAUCUCGUUCCCCUUACCAUCGCAAGUCGUCUAGGGUUCGUCAGAGAUCAAUCCUUUCGAGGGCUUCUCUUUUUUGCUGUUCUGGUCGAGAUUCAUCGCAUGUUUUCUCGAAUAUAUUUGAUGGAUGUUUUCUCUUACUAAUCCAUUAAGGAACGGGAUCGAUCACCCACGGCAUAUAUCCACCAUUUCCAUCAAAGGAGUGGGGCAUCUCGUCCGCAAAGGCACAGAAGGAAGGUCAUCCUUGAGGAAUGGAGUGUGAGACAAGAAAUUCCAGCUUUGAAGAAGCAAAUCAUUCCACGACUGAGCAGCUUGCAGUGGCAUGUAUGUGUGGUUAUGGAUACCAUUAUCAUGAGCAAUCUUCAGUUUGAAUCUUGGCUUCUCUUUGGAGCAGUAAUGAAGAAUGACGGGGAGAUCAUUUCCUCCUUUGCCUUUUGCAACAUUAAUUGUAUUGAUAGCUUUCAUCUUCAGCCAGAGUUUGCUUAGU